GCUUGAGUCUUGCAUUUUGUUUCAAUUUAUUAGACAAAAAUAAUGUCAAAAUAAAGAAAUUCAAAUGAAAAAAUUCACUAGAAUUUGAUAUUAACAUAUUUCGUAUGAAUAGAGCACCACAAUUGCCUAGUAAGAGCAUUGCAUUUUCCACGCGCUUAAGAAUGGAAACCAAACAUAACCAUGACGAACUGCUGCCUUCAAACGAUUCGGCUUGUGACAGUUCAUAGUAGCUGUCAUGGAAAUUUUACUUCACUCUGCAUUUGUUUAGUUCCUGCGGUAAAAUAAACUCUUAAAAAACAAGUAUCUCCUUAUAUGCAGCUCUCUCUAAUGUACAGCAUCAUGCCGAAUUUUCAAGUGCUUGCGUGAGAUAUCUUGGAACAGCUGUGCUCCUCUGACAUUUGGGUUACCACAUGCAUUGUGGCCUUUUGCUUUCUCCCAAGUGAAUUUGAUGUGGAUUUUCAGAUUCAAUGUCUGUCAUGAUUAUGGAGCUCAUAGGUGUGACAUGUACCUCUGUAUUUCAUGGACAAUUCAAAUUGGGACAAUUUUUCAGGCAACAGCUGUUCUGCAUUCAAAUGUGUCAGUCAAGGUGAUUAGUGAAUGGUGUCCUGUAGCUCCCAUAUUUGUGCUUUUAAACUUAUUUAUGCUAGGAGGUGCCUGUGGCAUGCUGAGAAAUCUUGAAAGCGACAUGCUCGGAUUUAUGUUGCAUCUGCUAACCACCAGGUGCAGGCAUGGUCUACUUGGGUGCUAUUUAAAGACUGCUAAUAAGAAAGACAAUUACCAGCACUGCACCUUUGACAAGAUUGCUUCAACAGUAUGUACUAAUUUAAAUCGAUUUAUUCAUAGUGAAAUUUCAUUGCAGUUUGCCUUUAAAGUGAGAGCCGCUGUAGCAAAAUCUUGAAUGUAGGUGCUUGAUAAUGCUCACAGUUGCAUCUCUGUUUUGACAUCACUUGCGAUUACAUUCAGUAACUGGUCUUCCAUAAAGUGGCACAAAUCUUGCCUGCUGUGAUGACUCAGUGGCUAUGGCAUUCUGCUGCUCAGCAUGAAGUUGCGGGUUGAAUUCUCGACUGAGGUGAAAUACAAAGAUGCUCAAGCACUUAGAUUUAUGUGCACAAUAAACAUACCCAGGUGGUCGAAAUUAUUCCGGACCCCCUCCACUACAAUGUCUCUCAUAAUUAAGAUGUUCUUUUAGGAUGUUAAUCCCGAUUAAUCUGUCAACCAUCAAUGUUAUCAGUGUUCUGACCACCAUACCUAAUGGUGGCCUGUUGUGUUUGAUGUGUGAUUGGAUAGACCUGAAAUGCUUGUCCUGCCAUGUUUGCUGGUCACCUGGACGGAUUCUCAAAUAGAGAAGGCAGUGUUUUUUGUUGUUGGUAAAGGGCAUAAAUGUGUGUUUGUUUCAGUUGCCAUUGUUUGCCAUGUUUGUUGGACGACCUGUGCCUUGAACGCCUGCUAAUGCAAAGAUGUUUUUCGCUACUGCAAAGAGGUGCGAAUUUUAUUUGUGUCGUAUAAUACAUCCUAAAGCCCCAGCAGGGGAAUAAAAACAUUCCAUGACGGAAAUAUUCGUCUAA
rnacentral:lncRNA from 1 species